rnacentral:rRNA from 1 species
CCAGACUCCUACGGGAGGCAGCAGUAGGGAAUUUUCGUCAAUGGGCGCAAGCCUGAACGAGCGACGCCGCGUGGGUGAAGAAGCGCCUCGGCGCGUAAAGCCCUGUCAGCAGGGAAGAAAAUGACGGUACCUGAAGAAGAAGCACCGGCUAAAUACGUGCCAGCAGCCGCGGUAAUACGUAUGGUGCGAGCGUUGUCCGGAUUUACUGGGCGUGAAGGGGGCGCAGGCGGCGCGCCAAGCCCGAUGUGAAAGCCCGGGGCUCAACCCCGGGACUGCAUUGGGAACUGGCGUGCUGGAGUGCCGGAGGGGCAGGCGGAAUUCCUGGUGUAGCGGUGAAAUGCGUAGAUAUCAGGAGGAACACCGGUGGCGAAGGCGGCCUGCUGGACGGAUACUGACGCUGAGGCCCGAAAGCGUGGGGAGCGAACAGGAUUAGAUACCCUAGUAA